rnacentral:rRNA from 1 species
AUUAGAUACCCUGGGUAGUCCACGCCGUAAACGAUGAAUACUAGGUGUGGGGGGUCUGACCCCCUCCGUGCCGGAGUUAACACAAUAAGUAUUCCACCUGGGGAGUACGACCGCAAGGUUGAAACUCAAAGGAAUUGACGGGGGCCCGCACAAGCAGUGGAUUAUGUGGUUUAAUCCGAAGCAACGCGAAGAACCUUACCAAGUCUUGACAUCUGGAUGACGAGGACUUAACCGUCCUUUCUCUUCGGAGCAUCCAAGACAGGUGGUGCAUGGUUGUCGUCAGCUCGUGUCGUGAGAUGUUGGGUUAAGUCCCGCAACGAGCGCAACCCUUAUCUUUAGUAGCCAGCGAAUAGAGUCGGGCACUCUAGAGAGACUGCCGGGGAUAACCCGGAGGAAGGUGGGGAUGACGUCAAAUCAUCAUGCCCCUUAUGAUUUGGGCUACACACGUGCUACAAUGGCGUAAACAGAGGGAAGCGAGCCCGCGAGGGGGAGCGAAUCCCAAAAAUAACGUCCCAGUUCGGAUUGUAGUCUGCAACCCGACUACAUGAAGCUGGAAUCGCUAGUAAUCGCGAAUCAGAAUGUCGCGGUGAAUACGUUCCCGGGUCUUGUACACACCGCCCGUCACACCAUGGGAGUCGGAAAUGCCCGAAGUCAGUGACCUAACCGAAAGGAAGGAGCUGCCGAAGGUGGAGCCGGUAACUGGGGUGAAGUCGUAACAAGGUACC